rnacentral:rRNA from 1 species
UACGAAGGGUGCAAGCGUUAAUCGGAAUUACUGGGCGUAAAGCGUGCGCAGGCGGUUAUGUAAGACAGGUGUGAAAUCCCCGGGCUUAACCUGGGAACUGCAUUUGUGACUGCAUAGCUAGAGUACGGUAGAGGGGGAUGGAAUUCCGCGUGUAGCAGUGAAAUGCGUAGAUAUGCGGAGGAACACCGAUGGCGAAGGCAAUCCCCUGGACCUGUACUGACGCUCAUGCACGAAAGCGUGGGGAGCAAACAGG